AAAGCAAAUAAAUACAUACAUUUACAUGUAUGUAUUUACAUUUAUGUACAUGAAUAGAUCUCAGUAACCUUAAUUCCGAUAAAUUUCUGUCUAUUUUUUGUGGUUUAGUCCAAUCAUGGCUUUUAAGCUGUGAAAAGAUUUUACUUAGAACCCAGUUUGGUCACAAUUUUGGCUCAAAAUUUAAUUUUUUGACUUGUAUAUUGUAUAAGAUGAAUAGCAACAGUAGCACCAUUAACCCUUACCGUCUCAUCAACAUUGAUACCGUCAAAAACACCAGUUAACAGCAACAGCAACAGCAAUCAGAAACCAUCAGCAUUAACCGUUCUACCACGGCUAUACAUCAACUCAGUGAAACCAUAAAUUGUAUCAAAAACAAAACCCAUCAACAACACACAAUCAUCUUUAAUUGUUUGCAACAUAAUUUACAGAUAAUCCAUAUAAACCUUCAUUACCAUCAAAAUUUUUCUUCAUUCAUUAGUUAAUUUUCAUUAUUAUUAUCUAUCAUGAAUAUAUAAAUAUUGUAAAAGGUAAGUUAUGGCGCAUCCUUACGAUCCGAUGACGACCCUUCAAUACGGUCCUUCGGUUAACUAUGGCAAUGCAGUCCAUGGUUAUCAAGGUAAUCAUGUUAUGGGAACAGACAUAGUUAAACGAGAUAAGGAUGCAAUUUAUGGACAUCCAUUGUUUCCGUUACUUGCACUCAUCUUUGAAAAGUGUGAAUUAGCAACCUGUACACCUCGAGACUCGGGUUUAUCAAGUGGUGAUGUGUGUUCAUCGGAAUCAUGCAAUGAUGAUAUCCAGGUCUUCGCCAAACAAUAAUUAGAUACAAAAAUAGCCAAGAGAUGGUAGUUUUAUACAAAUUAGAUGAUAAAGUUUAUAUGCGUUUUUCGUGUGCUUUUGUUUCGGCCGUUUUGAUUAAUUAUGAUUUUGUAUAUUUAGAUUGUUUUAUUUUCAUCCGUUAAGCUUCAUUGAUUGACUAAAUUAACUAGUAUCAUUAUCAAUGUUGCUACCAUUGAUAAUCGUGUUGCUAAAAAUUACCGAUUCAACUUUCAUUGAGUUGUGUUUUUAGGUUCACUUAUGUUGAACCAUUUUUACCCAUUUUCUGGUCAACCCAUAAACAGUUAUACCCAUUACAACAACAAUUAUAAUCAUUUUAAAUGCUGAUUCCGUCAAAAUGUGUUACAGUUUAACAACAAACUCUUUUUUUUGAUUCCUGUUAAAUUAUCUGUUCAAGUAAAACAUUAAGGACUGUUUACAUUCACUGUUAUUGAUUAGACAAGAAAAAGAUGAGCUUUUUCCACCAGGAAGACAAGGAAGAUGCUGUUGCAUGCUGAUGAUGAGAUGUUAUACAAGAUCGGUUCAGUAACCCAAGAAGAGAUGGGAAAGCAAAAGGAUUGAAAUGUAGAUUAACAUUUAUAUCAUUUCAAGGGUUACCAAAAGAUGAUCAUCAACUGGAAUCACAAUCAAUUUAAAGAAACACACCACAAAAUUGAAUGUUAAAUAACAAUAAUAUGAUUAAGAUCAAGGAUGAGGUUAAAUGUUACUGACAGAAUCAACAUUCACAAUCAUCUUGUUUUUUGUAUAUCAUUUCUUGUAUCAUUUGAUGAAAUUGUUCAGUUAUAUUGUUUAUUGAUAACUCUUGUUCCUUCCAAUCAAUUGUUACCAGAAUAGUAAUUCUGCUCUUGACAAGUAAACAUUUUAUUAACAAUGGAUUAACAAUUGAACAGCUCAAAUGUUAAUCAUUUACUUCCUUAAACAAAAGCUAAUCCUUCAAUCUCAACCCAAAUCCAGUUUAAGGAAAUCCUUUUCACCU